UAUAAUUUCCAUUGUGUUGGUCUAUACGGACUCGGUAGCUUCUGCGGUUGCUAUUGCCGCGUCUGCUGUGAAGUAUACGGCUAAACUGGAGAAGGACCGUGCCCGUCUGCUCCUUUCGUGUGCUAGCGUGGUUCCUCUCUCCAGUGGAGCGGCGGUGCAACAGCGACGAUGCUGCACGAGAUCAAACCAGAGGAAUGUGAUCCACAUUUGUCUUUGCUUCCAUGUCCACGGGAGAAAAUUGCUGAACAUUUUGUCAUCCCCAGAUUUCCUCCCCACGGUGUGGCUAUCCUUACCCGUAUGGUCUUUGCAUGAGAAGCACAGAUGGGCAUGCCGACAUGGACCAUAUCAGGUCCUUUGCAGGUUCCUUGGGUAAAGCUUGCUGAUUGUCAAUGUGAUUAGAGGGCCAGUGGUCGAAUGAUGCAUUUCCUAUAGGUCUAUCCAGUGGAGAUGGUGUCACCUGCCGGAGAAGCGAGGGGGCUAUCCCUCGAAGGGGCGGUGUGAUGGCGGUGGUAGACACCCCAGGUUGUGCCCAUCGACGCAGCAGGCAGUGUGUGGGUGAACUUCUAUAAGUUUCUCAACCACAGGCCGAACCAUCGCUCGAAAGCCGCCAUCCUCUUCCACUCCAUCAACAGGACAGCGUCUCCUGCGUUCUCGAUCCGGCGCCACCACAUAUCGUGAUUCUUGAUCGGGCACAGGUCGCGGCCAUAAGAGAGCCUCGCUAGUGUGGUCUUCAUGCUUGGUCUGGAGAAGCAUGGGAGGAUGAGUAGGACAGGCAUGGGGAAGGAGCAGCCAGGCCGGAGCUCCGGAGUCGCUCGUGUCAUGGUCGAAUGGAGCCGGCCAUCUCUAUGGGCUGCUGCUCGCCGGUCGUCGUUCCCCAAUCAGAGUUGCUCAUCUUUGGCUUCACCAUCUUCCUCCCCUGAUCAUGCAUCUAUUUUAGAUCAUAUAAUUAUGCUAUAUCAUAUAUGUUGUUUAGUUGAGACUUGUGCAUGUGCAUGCAUUGGCAUUGAUUUAGACAGAGAUAUUGCAUGAUUUGUACAUAAAAGGAGUACGGAUGAUCUAAGAAUAAAUGUUCGAAUAAAGUUAGUAGUGAGAUUUAGGUAGAGGUUACCUGCACUGUUCUGUUUUAUGUGGAUUCUAAGCUGCAAAAUCAUACAUGGUCCUGUUAGUAGUUUGUUUGAGUUGUGAGUUUACGCA